rnacentral:rRNA from 1 species
CAUUACCACACCUAAAAAACUUUCCACGUGAACCGUUUCAACCCAAUAGUUGGGGGUCUUAUUUGGCGGCGGCUGCUGGCUUAAUUGUUGGCGGCUGCUGCUGAGUGAGCCCUAUCAAAAAAAAGGCGAACGUUUGGGCUUCGGCCUGAUUUAGUAGUCUUUUUUUCUUUUAAACCCAUUCCUUAAUACUGAAUAUACUGUGGGGACGAAAGUCUCUGCUUUUAACUAGAUAGCAACUUUCAGCAGUGGAUGUCUAGGCUCGCACAUCGAUGAAGAACGCUGCGAACUGCGAUACGUAAUGCGAAUUGCAGGAUUCAGUGAGUCAUCGAAAUUUUGAACGCAUAUUGCACUUCCGGGUUAGUCCUGGAAGUAUGCCUGUAUCAGUGUCCGUACAUUAAACUUGACUUUCUUCCUUCCGUGUAGUCGGUGGAGGAGAUGUCAGAUGUGAAGUGUCUUGCGAUUGGUCUUCGGACCGGCUGCGAGUCCUUUUAAAUGUACUAAACUGAACUUCUCUUUGCUCGAAAAGUGGUGGCGUUGCUGGUUGUGAAGGCUGCUAUUGUGGCAAAUUGGCGACUGGUUUGUCUGCUGCGGCAUUAAUGGAAGAGUGUUCGAUUCGUGGUAUGGUUGGCUUCGGCUGAACAAUGCACUUAUUGGACGUUUUUCCUGCUGUGGCGUGAUGGACUGGUGAACCAUAGCUCGGUGGCUUGGCUUUUGAAUUGGCUUUGCUGUUGCGAAGUAGGGUGGCAGCUUCGGUUGUCGAGGGUCGAUCCAUUUGGGAACUUAAUGUGUACUUCGGUAUGCAUCUCAAUUGGACCUGAUAUCAGGCAAGAU